GCUGUAUAAAGAUGUAGCGAACGCAAGACAGUUUCCGCAUCUCCCUUUAUGGCGACAAACUCCUUAGAAGUCUUGGAAACAAUAUCUGUUGUGUGGCUACGGUCGAAACGGAUUGAUUCAGGAUGGAUUAGGUCUGCCGUAUGACCUUGGUUGAAAAACCUAAAGAUAAUCUUCAAACGGGAUAAGGUUCGCUUUGUUCGCUUUUGGAGUUACGGUUUA
ncrna:unclassified sequences IS605-orfB-I RNA